GAGAAAAGGCGCUGCCGUAAAGCGGAGUGUAGACGCGCAAGAAGACUUGUGCGGCGGACGAGAGGCGGCUGUCUCUCACUGUCCCGCGGUCCCGUGAAGCCUGAAGAGACGAUGAAGAAUUAAUUGAGCGCUGGGACUGGAACUAGUGUUCUAGUUUGUGUUUAUCACGGACUCUUUAGGGCGCUGCACACUCGCUCUCUCAGCACAUUCGCGCUCAGAAAGAAGCCAAAUCGUUAAAGCAGACUAACGUGGAAACAGGUGAAGAGACCAAGACAUCAGUAGGAGGGAGGACGACCCCCCAGUCUGAGGACGAUCCCCACCACAUGAAUGGGGGACAGGAGGCGCAGCUUCCAGCCCAGCUGAGUGUCGGGUGGAGGAGGGGGCGGAGUCUGUCCGGCUGCCCUUCAAAACCACAGCUCAGCUGCCUGAAGACACUCGGGUGGAGCGGUGGCACCGUCCUGAGAAGCCUGACAAACAGGAGCGGCAUCACAGAGACCGAGUGAAAGAAAGACGAGCGGACGGUUCAGCCUGACCCUUAAACGCCCCACAGAGAGCCAGAUACAGCUGUGUGGCCUGGAGCCAGGAAACUUCAUCGGGGUCGUGCUGCUCACACUUACGGGCGUUUGUUCACUGUCACUUGGUUCUCUAUGAUUUCACUUAUUAUUUUAUGGUGUUUGUGUGUGAAGCUGUCGUGUCUCCUGCAGGGAGAGAUCAGCACAUCAGGAAUAGAAGCAGCUGGUUAUUGAUCAGUGAUGUCAGAGUGGAGCCGGUGUGAUGGUAUCAAUUAUACUGGAAACACUUUGCUUCAUUUCCUCAUACUGAUCAGUUUGUGUCGUUACUCUGUACUCGUGUCCUGUUUAAAGCUUUGCGAGUAUCAGGUGAGCAGUGAGCAUGAGUGGGAGCCGUGGACGCUGCUGCAGGGAGGCUGCGUGUCAUUUAUUUGUGAGUUUAAUCCAUUAAAGCUAAUAAAGAGCU